rnacentral:rRNA from 1 species
UACAGAGGUCCCAAGCGUUGUUCGGAAUUACUGGGCGUAAGCGUGACGCAGGCGGUUCGCCAAGUCAGGUGUGAAAUCCCGGGCUUAACCUGGGAACUGCACUUGUGACUGCAAGGCUGGAGUACGGCAGAGGGGAUGGAAUUCCGCGUGUAGCAGUGAAAUGCGUAGAUAUGCGGAGGAACACCGAUGGCGAAGGCAAUCCCUGGGCCUGUACUGACGCUCAUGCACGAAAGCGUGGGGAGCAAACAGG